GCACAAAACCAUUCUUAGCAAUAACUAUAAUUCUUUUAAAGCAAUCUUCUAGAAUUCUUUAGAAAUGAGAAUACAGAUUGCUACUUGGAACAGGUCAGUUACUCAUGGAUGCCAAAUAAUCUCUGAUGUAUUGCAUAGAGGCCUGGGACAACUCAGAGUUGACAUUUACUUGUAAAGCAGCCAAAGACAGUACUUUUCGACGAAAAGUGUCUCUGUAAAUGUUUACUACAACCUGAAGAUGGUGAACAGACUAAGACCGAGAUGGAAAAUGAAUACUUGUGCAUAGGAGAACUGCCAAACAGAUUAAUGUAUGGGAUACUAAUGAACUGGGACUGAGACUGAAUGAAUGUACACGUCUGUAUGUCACAAGGUGUGUCUACAAAUAUCCAUGGGAAGAAGAUUUCAUUUUUGUCCCUGGUCAAUCAAACGAAUCUUCAAAAGGGAAAGGACUGGACACCUUAGAAACUUGACAUUUUGGUAUAUCAGGAUGGAUGGAUCUCAGUUUUUGUAUAUAAUUUGUAAGCAAGUGUACCAAUCUCG
rnacentral:lncRNA from 1 species